rnacentral:lncRNA from 1 species
AUUUCAGCCGUAGUGCGGGUAGUAUUUUUAAAUGUAUUAUUUGUCUAAAUGGAGUUCAAGAUUCAAACACUAAAGUGAAGUCUAAUGAAAAUAUCAUGCACAACAAAUCUAGAAGAAACUAGAAUAUAACCCUAUGCGAUGCAUGGUAUACAAUUUUUAUCUUUUUUUUUGACUAUUCAUGAAUAUAAUGGCAUAACAAACAAUAA